AACGAACGCUGGCGGCAUGCCUAACACAUGCAAGUCGAACGAGACCUUCGGGUCUAGUGGCGCACGGGUGCGUAACGCGUGGGAACCUGCCCUUAGGUUCGGAAUAACUCCCCGAAAGGGGUGCUAAUACCGGAUAAUGUCUUCGGACCAAAGAUUUAUCGCCUUUGGAUGGGCCCGUGUUGGAUUAGCUAGUUGGUAGGGUAAAAGCCUACCAAGGCGACGAUCCAUAGCUGGUCUGAGAGGAUGAUCAGCCACACUGGGACUGAGACACGGCCCAGACUCCUACGGGAGGCAGCAGUGGGGAAUAUUGGACAAUGGGCGAAAGCCUGAUCUAGCAAUGCCGCGUGAGUGAUGAAGGCCUUAGGGUUGUAAAGCUCUUUUACCCGGGAUGAUAAUGACAGUACCGGGAGAAUAAGCUCCGGCUAACUCCGUG
rnacentral:rRNA from 1 species